GGAUAACCUACCUAUAAGACUGGGAUAACUUCGGGAAACCGGAGCUAAUACCGGAUAACAUGUUGAACCGCAUGGUUCAACAGUGAAAGACGGUCUUGCUGUCACUUAUAGAUGGAUCCGCGCCGCAUUAGCUAGUUGGUAAGGUAACGGCUUACCAAGGCAACGAUGCGUAGCCGACCUGAGAGGGUGAUCGGCCACACUGGAACUGAGACACGGUCCAGACUCCUACGGGAGGCAGCAGUAGGGAAUCUUCCGCAAUGGGCGAAAGCCUGACGGAGCAACGCCGCGUGAGUGAAGAAGGUCUUCGGAUCGUAAAACUCUGUUAUUAGGGAAGAACAAAUGUGUAAGUAACUAUGCACGUCUUGACGGUACCUAAUCAGAAAGCCACGGCUAACUACGUGCCAGCAGCCGCGGUAAUACGUAGGUGGCAAGCGUUAUCCGGAAUUAUUGGGCGUAAAGCGCGCGUAGGCGGUUUUUUAAGUCUGAUGUGAAAGCCCACGGCUCAACCGUGGAGGGUCAUUGGAAACUGGAAAACUUGAGUGCAGAAGAGGAAAGUGGAAUUCCAUGUGUAGCGGUGAAAUGCGCAGAGAUAUGGAGGAACACCAGUGGCGAAGGCGACUUUCUGGUCUGUAACUGACGCUGAUGUGCGAAAGCGUGGGGAUCAAACAGGAUUAGAUACCCUGGUAGUCCACGCCGUAAACGAUGAGUGCUAAGUGUUAGGGGGUUUCCGCCCCUUAGUGCUGCAGCUAACGCAUUAAGCACUCCGCCUGGGGAGACGACCGCAAGGUUGAAACUCAAAGGAAUUGACGGGGACCCGCACAAGCGGUGGAGCAUGUGGUUAAUUCGAAGCAACGCGAAGAACCUUACCAAAU
rnacentral:rRNA from 1 species